GAUGAACGCUGGCGGCGUGCUUAACACAUGCAAGUCGAGCGAACAGACGAGGAGCUUGCUCCUCUGACGUUAGCGGCGGACGGGUGAGUAACACGUGGAUAACCUACCUAUAAGACUGGGAUAACUUCGGGAAACCGGAGCUAAUACCGGAUAAUAUAUUGAACCGCAUGGUUCAAUAGUGAAAGUCGGUUUUGCUGUCGGUUGUAGCUGGAUCCGCGCCGCAUUAGCUAGUUGGUAAGGUAAGGGCUUACCAAGGCAACGAUGCGUAGCCGGCCUGAGAGCGGAACAGGCCACAUUGGGCCUGAGAUACGGCACAGAAGCGACUGGGAGGCAGCAGUGGGGAACAUUGCACAACGGGGGGAAGUCUGAUGAAGAAACGCCCUGGUCGGGAUGAUGGCUUUUGGGUUGUAAACAGAUGUCGCCGGUGAUGAAGAGGGAGUGACGGUAACGGGUAAAGAAGCAACGGCUAACUACGUG
rnacentral:rRNA from 1 species